rnacentral:rRNA from 1 species
ACGGGCGGUGUGUGCAAGGAGCAGGGACGUAUUCACCGCGCGGUAAUGACACGCAGUUACUAGGGAUUCCAUAUUCGUGAGGGCGAGUUGCAGCCCUCAGUCAUAACUGUGAUAGCGUUUGAGGAUUACCUCCUCCUCUCGGAUUCGGAACCCAUUGUCACUAUCAUUGCAGCCCGCGUGUGGCCCCAGAGUUUCAGGGCAUACUGACCUGCCGUGGCCCUCUCCUUCCUCCGUAUUAACUACGGCAGUCCCGCUAAUUCGCCCCACUACUCCUGAGAGUAAUGGUGGCAACUAGAGGCAAGGAUCUCGCUCGUUACCUGACUUAACAGGACAUCUCACGGCACGAGCUGGCGACGGCCAUGCACCACUUCUCAGCUUGUCUGGUAAAGUCUUCAGCUUGACCUUCAUUCUGCUGUCUCUCCGGGUAAGAUUUCUGGCGUUGACUCCAAUUGAACCGCAGGCUUCACCCCUUGUGGUGCUCCCCCGCCAAUUCCUUUAAGUUUCAUACUUGCGUACGUACUUCCCAGGCGGCAAACUUAACGGCUUCCCUGCGGCACUGCACUGGCCACAAGCCAAUGCAUCACCGAGUUUGCAUAGUUUACAGCUGGGACUACCCGGGUAUCUAAUCCGGUUUGCUCCCCCAGCUUUCAUCCCUCACCGUCGAACGUGUUCUGGUAGACCGCCUUCGCCACAGGUGGUCAUCCAUAGAUCAAAGGAUUUUACCCCUUCCUACGGAGUACCGUCUACCUCUCCCACUUCCUAGCUCUGCAGUAUUUCCGGCAGCCUAUAUGUUGAGCAUAUAGAUUUAACCGAAAACUUACAGAGC